GAGUUUGAUCAUGGCUCAGAUUGAACGCUGGCGGCAGGCCUAACACAUGCAAGUCGAACGGUAACAGGAAGAAGCUUGCUUCUUUGCUGACGAGUGGCGGACGGGUGAGUAAUGUCUGGGAAACUGCCUGAUGGAGGGGGAUAACUACUGGAAACGGUAGCUAAUACCGCAUAACGUCGCAAGACCAAAGAGGGGGACCUUCGGGCCUCUUGCCAUCGGAUGUGCCCAGAUGGGAUUAGCUAGUAGGUGGGGUAACGGCUCACCUAGGCGACGAUCCCUAGCUGGUCUGAGAGGAUGACCAGCCACACUGGAACUGAGACACGGUCCAGACUCCUACGGGAGGCAGCAGUGGGGAAUAUUGCACAAUGGGCGCAAGCCUGAUGCAGCCAUGCCGCGUGUAUGAAGAAGGCCUUCGGGUUGUAAAGUACUUUCAGCGGGGAGGAAGGGAGUAAAGUUAAUACCUUUGCUCAUUGACGUUACCCGCAGAAGAAGCACCGGCUAACUCCGUGCCAGCAGCCGCAGUAAUACGGAGGGUGCAAGCGUUAAUCGGAAUUACUGGGCGUAAAGCGCACGCAGGCGGUUUGUUAAGUCAGAUGUGAAAUCCCCGGGCUCAACCUGGGAACUGCAUCUGAUACUGGCAAGCUUGAGUCUCGUAGAGGGGGGUAGAAUUCCAGGUGUAGCGGUGAAAUGCGUAGAGAUCUGGAGGAAUACCGGUGGCGAAGGCGGCCCCCUGGACGAAGACUGACGCUCAGGUGCGAAAGCGUGGGGAGCAAACAGGAUUAGAUACCCUGGUAGUCCACGCCGUAAACGAUGUCGACUUGGAGGUUGUGCCCUUGAGGCGUGGCUUCCGGAGCUAACGCGUUAAGUCGACCGCCUGGGGAGUACGGCCGCAAGGUUAAAACUCAAAUGAAUUGACGGGGGCCCGCACAAGCGGUGGAGCAUGUGGUUUAAUUCGAUGCAACGCGAAGAACCUUACCUGGUCUUGACAUCCACGGAAGUUUUCAGAGAUGAGAAUGUGCCUUCGGGAACCGUGAGACAGGUGCUGCAUGGCUGUCGUCAGCUCGUGUUGUGAAAUGUUGGGUUAAGUCCCGCAACGAGCGCAACCCUUAUCCUUUGUUGCCAGCGGUCCGGCCGGGAACUCAAAGGAGACUGCCAGUGAUAAACCGGAGGAAGGUGGGGAUGACGUCAAGUCAUCAUGGCCCUUACGACCAGGGCUACACACGUGCUACAAUGGCGCAUACAAAGAGAAGCGACCUCGCGAGAGCAAGCGGACCUCAUAAAGUGCGUCGUAGUCCGGAUUGGAGUCUGCAACUCGACUCCAUGAAGUCGGAAUCGCUAGUAAUCGUGGAUCAGAAUGCCACGGUGAAUACGUUCCCGGGCCUUGUACACACCGCCCGUCACACCAUGGGAGUGGGUUGCAAAAGAAGUAGGUAGCUUAACCUUCGGGAGGGCGCUUACCACUUUGUGAUUCAUGACUGGGGUGAAGUCGUAACAAGGUA
rnacentral:rRNA from 1 species